GACGAACGCUGGCGGCGUGCUUAACACAUGCAAGUCGAACGGAAAGGCCUGCUUUCCCUUGUGGAUUGCGGGUGCUCGAGUGGCGAACGGGUGAGUAACACGUGAGUGAUCUGCCCCCAACUUGGGUAUAAGCCUGGGAAACUGGGUCUAAUUCCCGAUAGGACUGCAGGGUGGUGCCUGUGGUGGAAAACGAUUUUCUAGUGGUUGGGGAUGAGCUCGCGGCCUAUCAGCUUGUUGGUGGGGUAAUGGCCUACCAAGGCGGCGACGGGUAGCCGGCCUGAGAGGGUGGACGGCCACAUUGGGACUGAGAUACGGCCCAGACUCCUACGGGAGGCAGCAGUGGGGAAUAUUGCACAAUGGGCGGAAGCCUGAUGCAGCGACGCCGCGUGGGGGAUGACGGCCUUCGGGUUGUAAACUCCUUUCGACCGCGAGGAAGCCACCUGGUUGGAAGGGUGGUGACGUUAGUGGUAGAAGAAGCACCGGCUAACUACGUG
rnacentral:rRNA from 1 species